CCUACGGGUGGCAGCAGUGAGGAAUAUUGGUCAAUGGCCGGAAGGCUGAACCAGCCAUGCCGCGUGAAGGUCAGUGCCCUAUGGGCGUUAAACUUCUUUUGUGCGGGAGCAAUAAUGGUCACGUGUGGCCAGACGAGAGUACCGUACGAAUAAGCAUCGGCUAACUCCGUGCCAGCAGGCGCGGUAAUACGGGGGAUGCAAGCGUUAUCCGGAUUUAUUGGGUUUAAAGGGUGCGUAGGCUGGGAGGUAAGUCAGCGGUGAAAUGCCCCCGCUCAACGGGGUGAAGUGCCAUUGAUACUGCCUGGCUGGAAUGCGGAUGACGUGGGAGGAAUGUGUGGUGUAGCGGUGAAAUGCAUAGAUAUCACACAGAACACCGAUUGCGAAGGCAUCUCACGAAUCCGCGAUUGACGCUGAUGCACGAAAGCGUGGGUAUCAAACAGGAUUAGAUACCCGGGUAGUC
rnacentral:rRNA from 1 species